CAUUAUUGAUGUUAAAUUGUCUUACCUUCAGUGCUGGCUGUUCUGCAUGUGCACGUUGGGGGCAAUAAUAUCACCCACCCUUUUGUGAACCAGGCCUUUGCUAGCUUCGGCUGGCAGGGGAUUUUUACACACAGUAAAUGUAAUGAAAUAAUGUUGUGCUUUGCACUAUAAAUAUACAACUUUCAACAACGGAUCUCUUGGCUCUCGCAUCGAUGAAGAACGCAGCGAAAUGCGAUAAGUAAUGUGAAUUGCAGAUUUUCAGUGAAUCAUCGAAUCUUUGAACGCACCUUGCACCCUUUGGUAUUCCAAAGGGUAUGCUCGUUUGAGUGUCAUGAUACUCUCACACUCUCUAAUUCGUUAGGGAGCGGUGGACUUGGAUGUUGCCUGGUACUUACUGUCAGGCUCAUCUCAAAUGGGUUAGUGCGAACUCCUAGUUAACAUAACGGCUUGAUAUGUAACCCCUCUCGCUGUUUUCGUCUGAUUAGGGACUCUGUGCUUCAAAUCGUCUUCGGACAAUGUCAUCGUCUUCGGGCAAUGUCUAAUAACUUGACCUCAAAUCGAGUAGGAUUACCCGCUGAACUUAA
rnacentral:rRNA from 1 species